AUUUUUCAUUAUUGACUUUGUCAUGUAUAUGCCCAUGAAUUUCAUAAUCUGACUGUAAGUGUAAAAUGCAUAGUCAUGUAUGUCACAUAAAUAAAUAUAUUGAGAUUGUUGUGUAAAUGAUGUGUCAAAUAUUGUGUUUAUUAAAGUUGCAUAAAUAACUUUUUAACUUUCAGAUUGUUGAGUUAAAAAUAUAUAUGCUAUCCUGUUUAUAUUUAUUAAAUAGUUUUAAACACCAAGAUUUCUUCAUUUAUUAACAAUGCUAUUUUAAAUAAAAAAUAUGCAAAAACACGGUUUUGAGUAAUAAACGAUUUCACACACUACGCAUGUCAACAUACACAUCAGAAGGUAAAAUAUUCAAUAAAAUGAUCUAGUCUACUAAAUUAUUCCUUUCUUCCUAAAUUGGUGUUUGCUCACACCUAAUAAAUUGGACAUAAUAGUUGCAUUAAUUGCUACUUAUAAUAAGGUUGACGAACUGUAAAAAUAUGUUGACGAAACAACUACCCAUUUUGUACUAUAAAAUAAGGAAGACGAAAUGGUAAGGUGACGAAACAUCCGGUACCCCAUGAAUGAAGCGCCCGUAUGUAAACAACCGAUACUGGCGAUAGCGACUUUCAUUCAGCUACCAACAUGAUCAAAAGAAAUGUUUCUACCAGUUACUCUUGAGUCACCUCCAAGCAUUCCCUUAUCCCAAAUUGAUAUUAAAGAUGUUGAUGAGCCUGAUCCGUCGAUUCAAAUACCAUAAAGCCAACCAAAAAAAAACAACAGCAAACAAGUGAGCAAGCUGACAAAGCUGCAACUUCAGGGAGCAAUUAUAAGGGUCAUCAAGAUGGAGCCAGGUUUCAUGAUGCUCGUAUUAGAGGUGCUGGACCAGAGUCUGAGGAAGGGAGUAGAACUCCAAGCUGGUUUGAGUGUGCUUCAACUGCCGGGACAUUUCAAUGCAGAGUUAAAAAGUUUGUUGUGGCCGGGAGGCCCGUCUUUCUCAAACUGCUGUAAGAACCUUAUAGAAACUAAAAUUCAGUAUAGAUCUAAGACAUGAGUGUACCUAAAUGUUAAAUGAAGUUGAUAUUUAUGAACAAUUUUAUAACAUUUCAUGUGAAUUUAAAAGCUGGUUUUACAUUAUUUAAUACUGCUAAUGAGUUCUUGAAAAUUUGUACUGAAAAAUGGAUACUUGACAACUCAUUUGCAUGUUUGUACUUCAUAGGAAGUUUAGUGUUGUAUUUUUCUAAAAAAAUAUGGUUUUAAACAUCUUAACAUGCAUGUAGUCACACACAGGCAGACCAAGUUGAAUUGUUGGCAUGUAUGAAAUAUGGGCAGUGUUAUUUUAUAAACAUUUAAAAGCUAUUUUAUAUGCUGGCAAAGUUUGUAUCUACUAAGUUAUUAAAAGCACUCCUGUUUAGGUGAGUGCUGAGAACUUUCUUGAACAUUCGUACUGAAGUAAGUAUGACUUAAGGUAGCACAUCACUGGAUAUUUCUUAUUUUUAAUCUUAGUAUCUGUGAAUUAUGCUACAUACAUGCCAUAUUUUCUGGAGACCAUUCAGGGGGAUUUGUUCAAAAGGCUGAAAAUUCAGGGGGAUUUUGGUUGUAUUCAGGGGGAUUUUUUUAGCAGGUCUAAGUUGGCGAAAUUUUAAAGUAUUUUUAGACGCAAGUAUGAAAAAAUGUAUUCACAUAUAGUUUGCUUUGAAAACCUCUUAACUUUUUCAUUAUACAGAAUUAUUUUAUGUCAUGAUUUAUCAUAUUUUUAUGAUAAACUGUCAUGUCAUACUGUAAUGCACUUGCAAAACAAAAUAUGUCAUUGGAAAAAUAUGUUUUCGAGACAAUUAAAUUAAAUUUACCUUCCUCCAAAGUCUUUUAAAAAAUUGUGCUUAAUUCUAUCAGCUUUGAUGACUUUCAGACAAUAAGAGAAUAGAAUAAAUAUUAUUAAUUUCUUCCUUCCAAAAGAGUAAUAUUUCUUUGCCUUUGAUAAUUACUACAAAUUAAUUGAUCACUUGUUGUAAAAGUUUACUUUUGGAGAGUUUCACUCACAUACUGUGGUUUGACUUUGUCAUUAUUGCCUGAUGUAAAAUUGAAUAUUUUUUUUAUUUUAUUUUUUUAAAUUCCGGGGGAUUUUUAUCUCCCGCUGGGAGACCAGGGGAUGGAUCGAAAUUCCGGGGGAUUUUUCCCCCCGCCGGGGGAUAUGGCAUGUAUGAUGCUACUGGCUUUUGAUAAACCUUCCCUCUUUCAGGACUCUGACCUCCUUGUAUUGAAUGAAGAGGUUCUAACCCUUGCCCAUUUGAUGAGGCAGGAUUUCUUGUGUUCAUUGAUGAGGAGGACCAGGUGCAACCCAACCGCUACUAGGCGACUUAUAUUGUGUUCUGACACAGAGUUAUUUUUGGGCUGGUGACAAGAGGGCUAUUCCCUUAUGUUGUGUAGAGAGUCCAGGAAACCUUCCCGAUUCCCUAAGAACAAUACACUGGCCUUGUGCAAAGGAGGGUUCAGUAGAUGAACACAAUUUUUGCAGACGGAUCGUAUCUGUUCUCUUGAUUUUCUUAAAUAUUAAAAUAUGAUAUAAACAAUAUUAGGUCAUUUUUGUAUACCGGUACUUUUGUGAAUGACUUGUUAUUUUAUAAAUACUGAUUUGUAUUGCUAAUCUGUCAUUAAGUAAUUAUCUCGUUUCAAUUUGAAAGCCAGAAAACCUGCAUGUUAUGUAUACUCAUGUUAUUGUUUAUAUUUAUGCCCCCUCCGAGGAAGAGGGGUAUAUUGCAUUGCACAUGUUGGUCGGACGAUUCGCAGCUUUGUUGGUAGACCAAAGCUUGUCUAAGUGAUAACUCAACAACUGAAGGACAGAUGGUUAUCAAACUUGACAUGAAUGUUGGGCCUGACCAGUAGAUAACCCCUAUUGAUUUAAGGGGUCAGCAGGUCCAAGUUCAAGAUCACAGUGACCUUUAGUGGUAUAAAGUUGUUAAAGUUUGUCCGAGAAAUAACUCAAAAAUACCUGAACGUACGGUAUGGUUAUCAAAUUUGACAUGGAGGCUGGGCCUGAUUAGUAGAUGACCCCUAUUGAUUUUAGGAGUCAUUGGGCCAAUGGUAACAGUCACAGUGACCUUUAAGUUGAAAAGGUUAACAAAGAUUCUCUGAGUGAUAUCACAACAAUGUCUGGCCCUAUGAUCAUCAAACUUGACAUUGAGGCUGGGUAUGACCAUAACUGAUUUAAGGAGUCAUUGGCCCUAAGUGACGAAAGUGCGUAAAGAAUGAACGGGUGAUAAUUCAACAAUGCCUGCACCCAUGGCUCUCAAACAUGAUAAGGGAAUUUGGCUUUACCAGUAGAUGGUUCAUUUUGAUAUCAGGGGUAAUCAGGUCAAAGGUAAAGGUUACAGUGACCUUGAAAGCAUAUUCGUGUGAUUUCUUGACAAUGCCUGCACCCAUGGUUCUCAAACUUGCCAUCUAGGUUGGGGGUGACCAGUUGAUGAUCUUAUAGAUCUUGAAGUCAGAGGUCAACCUAUAUGCAUGAUUAAGUAUUUUGUCAUAUUUACUUAUUUCCUGCUGCUGAAAGGAUAUAUAUUUUUAUCUGCAAAUAUCAGUCAUCAUCUGAACAUGAUUUAGAACUUUACAUACUAUCCUCACACGGUCAUAAUCUUAAAACUGCCGCAAAGGCAUCUAAUGUCAAUGACAAGUCAGCUGUCAUUUCAGUCUUUGCAUAUUUAAUUCAAUUUGCAGAAUAAGCCUGACAACUUGGCGCUCCUCAAGGGGAGGGGGUUCAUAUGUUUGACAAACAUCUCUUGUUUUUCUGUUUAAAAGCGCUUUCAAAUGACACUCAAGCAAUAUGUCUGUUUGAAUCCAAAUUUCACAUUUUAUCUUUAAAAUGUGUCAUACCUUUCUCAACCUUGUUUAGAAAUAAUGAAAUGGACCUAAAGCAGGCUCAAUUUUGAUACAGCCCAUUUCUUAAGUAGAACAAAGAUUAAUGCAAUAAACCACUUUCCCACAAAGAAGUAAAUAACUGAAAUAAAACCAUGAAGAUCCCA